rnacentral:rRNA from 1 species
GCGGGAAACUUGUGCUAAUACCGGAUAAGCCCUUACGGGGAAAGAUUUAUCGCCAAAAGAUCGGCCCGCGUCUGAUUAGCUAGUUGGUGAGGUAACGGCUCACCAAGGCGACGAUCCAUAGCUGGUCUGAGAGGAUGAUCAGCCACACUGGGACUGAGACACGGCCCAGACUCCUACGGGAGGCAGCAGUAGGGAAUCUUGCGCAAUGGGCGAAAGCCUGACGCAGCCAUGCCGCGUGAAUGAUGAAGGUCUUAGGAUUGUAAAAUUCUUUCACCGGGGAAGAUAAUGACGGUACCCGGAGAAGAAGCCCCGGCUAACUUCGUGCCAGCAGCCGCGGUAAUAAGUUUCCUGUGUGA